rnacentral:rRNA from 1 species
AACGAACGCUGGCGGCAGGCUUAACACAUGCAAGUCGAGCGCCCCGCAAGGGGAGCGGCAGACGGGUGAGUAACGCGUGGGAAUCUACCCAUCUCUACGGAAUAACGCAUGGAAACGUGUGCUAAUACCGUAUACGUCCUUCGGGAGAAAGAUUUAUCGGAGAUGGAUGAGCCCGCGUUGGAUUAGCUAGUUGGUGGGGUAAAGGCCUACCAAGGCGACGAUCCAUAGCUGGUCUGAGAGGAUGAUCAGCCACACUGGAACUGAGACACGGCCCAGACUCCUACGGGAGGCAGCAGUGGGGGAUAUUGGACAAUGGGCGUAAGCCUGAUCCAGCCAUGCCGCGUGAGUGAUGAAGGCCCUAGGGUUGUAAAGCUCUUUCACCGGUGAAGAUAAUGACGGUAACCGGAGAAGAAGCCCCGGCUAACUUCGUGCCAGCAGCCGCAGUAAUAC